rnacentral:rRNA from 1 species
UACGGAGGAUCCGAGCGUUAUCCGGAUUUAUUGGGUUUAAAGGGUGCGUAGGCGGCAUUCUAAGUCAGGGGUGAAAUACAUCGGCUCAACCGAUGCAGUGCCCUUGAUACUGGAGUGCUUGAAUGCGGUUGAAGAAGGCGGAAUGGGACAAGUAGCGGUGAAAUGCAUAGAUAUGUCCCAGAACCCCGAUUGCGAAGGCAGCUUUCUAAGCCGUGAUUGACGCUGAUGCACGAAAGCGUGGGGAUCGAAC